rnacentral:rRNA from 1 species
UUGGAGGGCAAGUCUGGUGCCAGCAGCCGCGGUAAUUCCAGCUCCAAUAGCGUAUAUUAAAGUUGUUGCAGUUAAAAAGCUCGUAGUUGAAUUUCGGGGUUAGUAGAUUGGUCAUGCCAUCGGUAUGCACUGGUCUCACUGAUUCCUCCUUCCUGAUGAACCUUAAUGCCAUUAAUUUGGUGUUUUGGGGAAUUUGGACUGUUACUUUGAAAAAAUUAGAGUGUUUAAAGCAAGCUAACGCUUGAAUACAUUAGCAUGGAAUAAUGAAAUAGGACGUUCGAUCCUAUUUUGUUGGUUUCUAGGAUUGACGUAAUGAUUAAUAGGGAUAGUUGGGGGCAUUAGUAUUCAAUUGUCAGAGGUGAAAUUCUUGGAUUUAUUGAAGACUAACUACUGCGAAAGCAUUUGCCAAGGAUGUUUUCAUUAAUCAAGAACGAAAGUUAGGGGAUCGAAGACGAUCAGAUACCGUCGUAGUCUUAACCAUAAACUAUGCCGACUAGGGAUCGGAUGAUGUUAAUUUUUUAAUGACUCAUUCGGCGCCUUACGGGAAAC